rnacentral:ncRNA from 1 species
UAGAAUUAUCAGGGGUGCUAGUAAUGGCUGAGAAUAUACUCUUUUGACUGAUACAGGUAAUGCUGUCGUAGUUAGACUUUUUUUAUUUUCA